GGCGCCAAUAUCUCCGGCGGCCACGUGAAUCCGGCGGUCACCUUCGGGCUGGCUCUGGGAGGCCAGAUUACCAUCCUCACUGGGAUCUUCUACUGGGUCGCGCAGUUGCUUGGAGCUGUCGUUGGAGCUUUUCUCGUCAAGUUCGCGACAGGACUGGUAAGAUCGGAACAAAGCAUGCUUGUGGUGGGUUGACGCAAGAGAGAGCUAAAUGCUUGUCUUCCACUGAAACAUGUAGGACACCCCCACCCAUGGCCUGGGAGACGGAGUGGGAGCAGGAGAGGCGGUGGUGAUGGAGAUCAUCAUCACCUUCGCCCUCGUGUACACGGUGUACGCGACGGCGGCCGACCCGAAGAAGGGCUCUCUCGGCACCAUCGCCCCCAUAGCCAUCGGCUUCAUCGUCGGCGCCAACAUCCUCGCGGCGGGCCCCUUCUCCGGAGGGUCGAUGAACCCGGCGCGCUCCUUCGGGCCGGCCGUCGCCAGCGGGAACUUCUCCGACCUCUGGAUCUACUGGGUCGGUCCCCUCAUCGGUGGCGGCAUCGCCGGGCUGGUGUACACCUACGCCUACAUGUGCUCAGACCACCAGCCACUCCCUCAGUGACCUGCAAGCAAGCUCAGCUGAAUAAGAACGAGAGAUAUGAGUUGCUGAGUGCUUGAUGUUGCUUGUGUUUUGGAAGUCUGAAGCCAAUUUGCUUGUGUGUUUCUCUGAGCUUCUUAAGAUUUCCAGUGUCAUCUUCUUCGCAAUCAAGUUCUUAUUCACUUUUGA
rnacentral:lncRNA from 1 species